CGAAGAAAUGCAGAGAAGUAGAUGAGGUAUCGGUUUGAUUCUUGUUUUUUCUGCUCUUUCUUUUUCU
rnacentral:ribozyme from 1 species